UACGGAGGGUGCAAGCGUUAUCCGGAUUCACUGGGUUUAAAGGGUGCGUAGGUGGGCAGGUAAGUCAGUGGUGAAAUCUCCGGGCUUAACCCGGAAACUGCCAUUGAUACUAUCAGUCUUGAAUACCGUGGAGGUAAGCGGAAUAUGUCAUGUAGCGGUGAAAUGCUUAGAUAUGACAUAGAACACCGAUAGCGAAGGCAGCUUACUGCAGGAUGAUUGACGCUGAGGCACGAAAGCGUGGGGAGCAAACAGG
rnacentral:rRNA from 1 species